UAUAAUUUUUCAAUUUAGAAAAUUUUAGCGAUGAAUGCCUCGGCUCGGGUUA
rnacentral:rRNA from 1 species